CAGUGGUGAACUCCACAUACGCAUCCUUUGCUGAGGAUACGGUUAACGGAGCGCAAGCGACGUUCAACCGCAAAAGAAGCAGAGGGGGCUUAGUGGUGGGGUGACUGCGUACCUUUUGUAUAAUGGGUCAGCGACUUAUAUUCUGUAGCAAGGUUAACCGUAUAGGGGAGCCGGAGGGAAACCGAGUCUUAAUUGGGCGUUAAGUUGCAGGGUAUAGACCCGAAACCCGGUGAUCUAGCCAUGGGCAGGUUGAAGGUUGGGUAACACUAACUGGAGGACCGAACCGACUAAUGUUGAAAAAUUAGCGGAUGACCUGUGGCUGGGGGUGAAAGGCCAAUCAAACCGGGAGAUAGCUGGUUCUCCCCGAAAGCUAUUUAGGUAGCGCCUCGUGAAUUCAUCUCCGGGGGUAGAGCACUGUUUCGGCUAGGGGGCCAUCCCGGCUUACCAACCCGAUGCAAACUGCGAAUACCGGAGAAUGUUAUCACGGGAGACACACGGCGGGUGCUAACGUCCGUCGUGAAGAGGGAAACAACCCAGACCGCCAGCUAAGGUCCCAAAGUCAUGGUUAAGUGGGAAACGAUGUGGGAAGGCCCAGACAGCCAGGAUGUUGGCUUAGAAGCAGCCAUCAUUUAAAGAAAGCGUAAUAGCUCACUGGUCGAGUCGGCCUGCGCGGAAGAUGUAACGGGGCUAAACCAUGCACCGAAGCUGCGGCAGCGAACGUAUCACUUAAAGCGAUUCAGCGGGUUACGAUUGACGGAGCGAAGCGACGUCAAAGCGUAUACAAAGUCGAGUCGGUUUAAGGAUACGUUCGUUGGGUAGGGGAGCGUUCUGUAAGCCUGUGAAGGUGUGUCGUGAGGCAUGCUGGAGGUAUCAGAAGUGCGAAUGCUGACAUAAGUAACGAUAAAGCGGGUGAAAAGCCCGCUCGCCGGAAGACCAAGGGUUCCUGUCCAACGUUAAUCGGGGCAGGGUGAGUCGACCCCUAAGGCGAGGCCGAAAGGCGUAGUCGAUGGGAAACGGGUUAAUAUUCCCGUACUUGGUGUUACUGCGAAGGGGGGACGGAGAAGGCUAUGUUGGCCGGGCGACGGUUGUCCCGGUUUAAGCGUGUAGGUGUGUGUUCCAGGUAAAUCCGGUUCACUUUAACACUGAGGCGUGAUGACGAGGCACUACGGUGCUGAAGCAACAAAUGCCCUGCUUCCAGGAAAAGCCUCUAAGCAUCAGGUAACAUCAAAUCGUACCCCAAACCGACACAGGUGGUCAGGUAGAGAAUACCAAGGCGCUUGAGAGAACUCGGGUGAAGGAACUAGGCAAAAUGGUGCCGUAACUUCGGGAGAAGGCACG
rnacentral:rRNA from 1 species